rnacentral:rRNA from 1 species
CCCCUAGACGUUCUGGGCUGCACGCGCGCUACAAUAAUACGCACAGCGAGUAUCACCGAGCUCGAAAGGGCAAGGUAAACAAUAGAAAAGGUACUGUAAUGGUUAUAGAUCCUUGUAAUUAUUGAUCUUCAACGAGGAAUUCCUAGUAAGUAUGUGUCGUCAUCACGCACUGAUUACGUCCCUGCCCUUUGUACACACCGCCCGUCGCUCCUACCGAUUGGGUGAGCCGAUGAAACUCUCGGAUGUAGGCUAUUCAUAGCCCGCAGAAGAGAUUUGAAUCGUAGCGCUUAGAGGAAGGAGAAGUCGUAACA